rnacentral:lncRNA from 1 species
GAAACACUAUGUUGAAGAAGAAGAAAGUGAGAAGUUGAAGGAAAUUGAAAUGGCUAAAGCACAACAGGCGAGACCAACAUGGCAACCCUGUCGGGGCGACAGAGAGAUUUUCCUUUCAUUCCUUCCAAAUCACAGCAUAUUAGAGAGGAUGAGAAAAAUCAACAUCCUCCAAUUACUCAUUUUCAAAUGAAAUCAAAAACAAAUUUAAUUCACAAUUCAUCUAAGAAAAUUCACGUAAAUAGUGAAUUCCCUCCAAAAUAACAAAGCAUUAGGAGCUAGGAAUUGAUUAUGUUUGUAACAAGUUUGGUACAUAUUAUUUUUAUACACUAAUUUGAGGAGAAGUGUUGGAUAUAUUAUUUUUAUUUUAUCUUUAUAUUUUAUUUUUAGUUAGUUUGUUAUUAUUCCCUAUUUGUAUUUUGGGCUUAGCCCAUAUUUCUUCUAUUAUAAAGAGUAUUUUAUGUGUAUAUUCAAUGUAAGAGAGAUUAAUCUCAUGCAUAAUUUUUCAUUAUAUUUAACAACAAAAAAGUAAAAUUAAUUUUUCUAUAUAUUAAAGUUAGUUUAUAUAUGUGUUUGUUUCAGGUGUUGCCAGACAGGUUGUGUCAUAGACUAGACGAGUUAUCCAAACUCUAAAAUUGUUUGUCUUGUUACGCUCCUUUAUAUUGUCCUUUAGGUCUGUAAGGUCUUCCGUUCAUCCAGAACUAUUUAGAUUAUACUUGUAGAAGAUACUCUGAUGUUAAAGUGAGUAGUUGACCAAUCAGUGUCGUAUAAAGUGUAAUGAUGCAUGUGUUCUUAAAGCCAUACCUUAUACUUGUAUUUAAAGUAGUUGUUAUGGGCUUUACCUUUUUAUUAGCUUAAUCAUUUCCCAAUCGUACAUUAAUUAGAAUUAGCAUAUCAAUUUGUGAUUAUCAUUCAUAUUAAUCUAACCUUCAUUCUAUAACAGGUAAGUUUUGUUGUUCGGUCUGGAUAGUCGGCCAAAGAAUAGUCGGCCAAAGACAAUCAAACCUUGAGGUGACCAGUCAAACACUAGUGCAGAAAGGGCUUUAGAUG